GGAGUUCGGUCCGUGUCUCAGUACCGAUGUGUGGGACCUUCCUUUUAGAACCCAUAAGCAUCAUCGUCUUGGUGAGCCGUUACCUCACCAACUAGCUAAUCAGUCGCAUCCUCAUCCAUCGCCGAUAAAUCUUUAUUCGCCAAACCAUGCGGAAAAGCGAAACCAUCAGGUAUUAAUCUUUCUUUCGAAAGGCUAUCCCUGAGCCAUGGGUAGAUUGGAUACGCGUUACGCACCCGUGCGCCGGUCGCCAUCAAAAGUAGCAAGCUACUUUCAUGCUGCCCCUCGACUUGCAUGUGUUAAGCCUGUAGCUAGCGUUCAUC
rnacentral:rRNA from 1 species